AAAACUUGGGGUUACGUAUGAACGACUCAGAAGUUUCUGAAAGUCGUCAAAACUAAAGGAAUCGCUAGCUUGGGAUUGUAAAGCAGCCAUUGAAGAAGGAACGAAGCUUUUCAGAGUUACGUAACAAGGAAGCAAAAUAUGAACAGUGAAUCGCGAAGGAUGCGUAAGAAAUAUGAAACGUGAUUUCGUAGCAGUAAAAUGGCGUGUUCAGAGUUUAUAAGGGCUUGUAAAGCGACGCACCUUUUCAAGUUAUAGAAGGAAACAAUGAUUGAAAUUCUUUGGGAAUCGUGAACGUUGCUGAAGACGUGAAGUGAAUAUGGCAAAAUUCAAUAAUUAUUAUUAAUUCUGCCAUAUUGGGGGGUAAUUGUUGACACAUAAAAAUUCAGCCCAAAUCGAACAGCCCAGAGAAUAAAACCCAAUGGGAGGAUCCCCAAAUCAGAUAGCCCAAAGAACGAAAUCCAAUU
rnacentral:lncRNA from 1 species